rnacentral:lncRNA from 1 species
GAAAAAAGUUGAGAGGGGGCAAUUUUUUUAACCAUAUUCGUGAACCAACAAGGAAAAAUAUUCCACAUAAACGAAAAUAGGGGCGUAUUCACUUCAUUCUAGGCAUGGGAUUAAAAGUCAUUGAAAAGUGAGAGAAAACUAACCAUUUGAGACAAAAUGAAUUAUGUCAAUAUGACAAUAUCUUGUUCUAAAGUUGCAUAAGAGAACAUCGACACAUUGUUGUAAGAAUCAAACCUUCGACCUGAAAGAAAAAAAAACAUCAUUAAAUCGAGGGAGAAUGAAAACUUUGAAGAAGGACGAUACUAAAAAUUAGAAAAGGAGCUUUGCCCAUUACCUUUUGUUUCAUCCCACGACAAUCUCUCACCGCAUGGAAACAUAUACCACUUCAUUAUGAAUUUUGUUCACCAAUUAUUUUUUGACAAAGCGGAUAGGGCUAUGGUUCAUAAAAUCAUCAAGUACUUCUUAUAUCCUCAUCCUCAUGCUGAUUCCGGUCGUAAUCUACAGUCGUCUUCUUUUUAGAUGUAUCCCUAAGAAGCUUGUGCAAAUCAACUAUUUCAUGCAUUUUGGAAGUUAUUGAUUUUGGAAAACACCUCUUGAUUAGCUUCCCUGCAACUUCAAGUGCCAAAAACUAUAAUGUUAAAUGAAUUACUAAAUUAGGAAGUAGAAAUAUAUUAUGUGGACUAGCCAUUGAUUGUAAGUACAAAUUGCAUCCUAAAUUUAUAUGUUAUUACAGAAAAAGUUUGAACUGACAUAAUCACCUAAAUUGAUAGAUUAUACACAUAAGUUAACGAUUUCCAACGCAUAAAUUACAAAAGAACAAAAACCUUGGAAAAAGAAAACCCUGGACGGUUGAUAUGACUUACCUU